AGGACUAUUGACAUGGAAAGGACAGUUACUUUAGCCUGUUUUGCAGCAGUGCCAUGGAUAAGGAAGAGAGAACUUGAUAGUAUGAGAUUUGAGGUUCCUUGGUUUACUAAAGGGGGCUAGUAUAUACUGCACAGCAUUACUUACACAGGGGGGCUGUCCACACUUCAACAACAGGAGCAAAGGUUCAAGUUCCUGACAGAUAAGUGCAGCGUCAUUACUUGAAAUAGUGUCAGGAUAGCAUUUAUUUCUGCAAAAUUGCAGUAAAAGUCAACCCAUUAAACAGAUUAUGUGUUUUACACCUCUUAUUACAGAUUCAGGCCUUUUAAAGCUGCAUUAUGGCAGUGAAGUUAUUCUGCUUAGUUAUGCCAGUGGAUAUAUUCUGCCUAAUAAAAGCCCAGCCGCCUGGAAGAGGACGAUGGCCGCCGACCGCGAGGGGAGAAGGGACUCCUAACCAACCGCCUGGAGCGGUCAGGGCUGCUGCCAGGGGCGCAGGAGUCACCUACUGGCCGCUGAAACGCGGCAGGGUUUGAGGGUGGAGGAGUGGACGAGGAACAAGCUGCGGCGUAUCGGAGAACUGGCGAGUAGACGGUGAUGACCUGCCGGCAGACGUGGCUUAGGGCACGCCCUCCCCCAGGGAAAGGGGGGGGGGGGGUGUACGUCAUGCUUGGGGCUCCCCAGCCUGAGAGAACGAGGGAGGAAUGUGGCAGGGCGGAGGGCGGGGCCGGGUUGUGAUCUUACACACCCGGGCCCGUAUUAGGCUAAUUAAGCCUCUGAGAGGGAUAAAGGUCGACAGCAGAGAAUCGUGCGGGAGAGAGAGAUGUCUGUCAUAUGUGUGUUUGUCUUUUGUUUAAGUUGUUAAUUAAAAUAUUCUUUAUAU